AACCCUCAAACACGGGUUUGAUUCAGGUUUGAUCAUGUCCUAGUUCGACAUGUUGGACUUUCAAUGUAUUUUGGUCCAAAUACAAUAAAAAUAAGUAAAAACACAUAUGUCAUAGUUCUAACUACGGACCAUAUAGCCUGCUUCGCCACCUAUGAGGCCAACAGAAAUGAUAUACAUGAGCCCAUAACUCAAAGUAGACGAUGCCAAAAAGAGGAAAAAGUUCAACUAACGCCCCUCAACUAUAGCAGUCUAUUUUUUCCUCCCCAAUUAAGCUUAUGAAUUUAGACUCUUUAACUUUUGAAACCAUUUGAUUUCUCUUCUUAAACGGUUUCUACUGAUGUGAUGGUGCGUUAGCCACAAUAGGGAUGAAAUCCGACUACAUUAAUAAAUCAAGAAAUUAAGUUAGACUUAAUGAAAGUUGUAGACACAGUAUUGUUUUUUUUAAAACGUGACCAAAACAAUUUCUACCGAAAUAUGCAAUUAAAAAUUCUAUAAAUCCAAACCUACCUUAAAGUAUUCAUAAAAAAUGGUUUAGCACAUA
rnacentral:lncRNA from 7 species